AUUUAUAUAGUUUAAUAUUAAAACAUUACAUUUUCACUGUAAAAAUAAAAUUAUUUUUAUAAAUA
rnacentral:tRNA from 1 species